UUUUUUUUUAUGUGGCCUUAUGUUAGCCCACAGUUAAUAGAAGAACGCCUGUGGUUAGCCAUAUGCCCUGAGUAUAACCUCGUUGACCUCCACGCUUAAUUAACAAUUGCUCAGUUUGAGUUAAAAUAUUUCAUUUCGUUCUUAUCCGGAGAACAUCGUGAACACAUUUAUAUAUUAUUGAUAUACAGGGUGUAUAAAAAAAAACUGAACAG